rnacentral:tRNA from 1 species
UUUCAGAAAGUUUAAAUAUAUCAAACUGUCAGUUUGAAGUUGCUUGAGGCUCUGAAAA